GCUAUGAUGAUUACUUUGCAUUGAUCAUGUGUUGAAUUGAUAAAGCUUAAUUGUCCUCUAAGAAGUUCUGAGCUC